AUUGAACGCUGGCGGCAUGCCUUACACAUGCAAGUCGAACGGUAACAGGUUAAGCUGACGAGUGGCGGACGGGUGAGUAAUAUAUCGGAACGUGCCCAGUCGUGGGGGAUAACGUAGCGAAAGCUACGCUAAUACCGCAUACGAUCUACGGAUGAAAGCGGGGGAUCGCAAGACCUCGCGCGAUUGGAGCGGCCGAUAUCAGAUUAGGUAGUUGGUGGGGUAAAGGCUCACCAAGCCAACGAUCUGUAGCUGGGCUGAGAGGACGACCAGCCACACUGGAACUGAGACACGGUGCAGACUCCUACGGGAGGCAGCAGUGGGGAAUUUUGGACAAUGGGCGAAAGCCUGAUCCAGCCAUUCCGCGUGCAGGAUGAAGGCCCUCGGGUUGUAAACUGCUUUUGUACAGAACGAAAAGGUUUCUACUAAUACUAGGAGCUCAUGACGGUACUGUAAGAAUAAGCACCGGCUAACUACGUGCCAGCCGCCGCGGUAA
rnacentral:rRNA from 1 species